rnacentral:rRNA from 1 species
AUUGAACGCUGGCGGCAUGCCUUACACAUGCAAGUCGAACGGCAGCACGGGAGCAAUCCUGGUGGCGAGUGGCGAACGGGUGAGUAAUAUAUCGGAACGUGCCCAGUCGUGGGGGAUAACGUAGCGAAAGCUACGCUAAUACCGCAUACGAUCUAUGGAUGAAAGCGGGGGAUCGCAAGACCUCGCGCGAUUGGAGCGGCCGAUAUCAGAUUAGGUAGUUGGUGAGGUAAACGCUCACCAAGCCGACGAUCUGUAGCUGGUCUGAGAGGACGACCAGCAACACUGGGACUGAGACACGGCCCAGACUCCUACGGGAGGCAGCAGUGGGGAAUUUUGGACAAUGGGCGCAAGCCUGAUCCAGCAAUGCCGCGUGCAGGAUGAAGGCCUUCGGGUUGUAAACUGCUUUUGUACGGAACGAAACGGCGAGCUCUAAUACAGUUUGCUAAUGACGGUACCGUAAGAAUAAGCACCGGCUAACUACGUGCCAGCCGCCGCGGUAA